rnacentral:lncRNA from 1 species
CCAGACCCAGGUUUGGCUCCCCAUCGCUGGAAAGCUGAACACAAGAGGUGCUUGAGUGACAUGAGUCUCUUAAUCAUUUAAAAAUUAAAGCAUCAUCAACCAGCACUGUAGAAUUAAGAAUAUAAGGCAUCCCAUUCUGCCCUGCAUAUUCAAGGAAUUACUCCUUCUGAAGUAGCCAGCCAUCAAGCAAUCUACCAAGAGGACUGUGUGCCGGUGAACUGUGGCUUCCUUUAACAGCCAGGAAGAAAGUGAGGCCUUCAGCCAACAACCAUGUUGGGGAACCAUCUUGGAAACUGGUCCUCCAGAACCCCACCUUCAGAUGUCUGGAGCCUCAUGAGAGGCCAGGAGUAAGAACCACCCACUGACAACUGCUAAUUCCUGACCCUUAGAAGCUGUGUAAGAUAAUAAUCAUGUUUUGUUAUAAAUAGCUAAGUUUUGGUAUAAUCUGUUAUACAGCAUACAUUGAGUAAUUCAAGCUCCCACAUCAAGUGUCUGACUACAUAGGGUUUGAGGUGGAACUUAGAAUAUAUAUUUAAUGUAAGCACCCUUCUGAUUUUGAUGCAGGAACUCAGUCUUUAGGUGUCAGAAUAGCUGCAAGCUUGUAUUAGUUUAAAAGCACCUAUGCCUGACGUCAGCUCCAUAUUUGUAAUAUUUUGUGAGUAAUCAUCUCCCUUACUCUACCUCCUGAUCAAGCACAUGGAGCAAGUGGUAUUACCUGCUAAGUUUUCUGCUUUUUAAAACAAGUAGGUGGACUUCUCAUUAUUAUAAAAAUAGUACAUACUCAUUGUAAAACAUGAAGAAUAUAAAAACAUAUUAAGAAUGGAAAGCAUACUUAUAGAUUCUCCAAGCCUCUCUACUUUGAUACAUGCCCUUCAUAUUUAGUCACAAAUAAUCAUUGUACUAUCGUCAUACAGUUUCUCAUUAAGUUUUCACUUACCACUGAAACAGUGACUGUCAUGCAGUAGAGUUCAAUAUUUGUUGAAUAACUAUUUUGUGAUAAAUUUACAAAUUAUUCAACAUUUUUUGAAAAACAAAUAAAUGAAUAACAUUGCAUCGUGUAUAUGUACUAUCAUUUAUUUUUAAAGUACUAGAUGAAAAGUCAUAAACAAUACUAAAAGUUUUGAUAC